rnacentral:rRNA from 1 species
AUUGAACGCUGGCGGCAGGCCUAACACAUGCAAGUCGAGCGGUUGAGGUAGCUUGCUACCGAUGCAGCGGCGGACGGGUGAGUAAUACAUGGGAAUCUGCCUGGUAGUGGGGGACAACGUUUCGAAAGGAACGCUAAUACCGCAUACGCCCUACGGGGAAAGGGGGGAGUCUUCGGACCUCUCGCUAUCAGAUGAGCCCA